ensembl:lncRNA
GGGGUGGGUGAAGGGCAAACACGGCACCAAGCGGGGUAGCUGCAAAGGCUGACUAGGGCAGACUGAUCAAAGAGCGUGUUUGGGGCCAUGUAGGACCCACAACCCUGUGAGCAGCCCCGGUGGCUGACCACAGCCCAGAGAGCAGCCAGCCAGGCAGCCUGGACAGAAGGCACUGAAAGGGCUGCUCACUCAGAAGGGGAUGUGGGCCACCACCCACAGAUGCCAAGUGUGGUACCCAGGUGGCAGCUGCCAUGCUGUGCAUCAAUAAAGGCACCAAAGGGGACAAUCUCAGACACCCUAAAUGUAACACAAGGCUCGGGUGUGAAGGGGGAGGAGCAAAGGGAAGUUGGUAGGGUUCCAGCUGGGUGGAGCUGGGCACAGCUCCUUGCUGGAAACUUGGCCUGUGGACUUCGAUCCCAGCCCCCACAGAAGCUACAAGCAGGUCCCUCGCACCAGCCCUUCCGCCCCCAGCAGGGGAGGCUCCGUGUGAGCACCUUGGGCCUUCCUCCCCAGAUUCACUGCAGAAAGGCUCCGGCCUGCUACUUUGGGUGUCUCUCUGCAGCUCUUCACAGGCUGCCUGGAGUUGAGGAGCUCACCCAGGCCGGGCCCUCUCUGACCAGCAUCUGAACAGGAUCCUGAGCCCUCUAUCCAGAGAUCCCUCGGCCUCAGGAGUCUCAGUCCCCCACAGCCCAGUUCACAGCCAGUGCUGUGGUCGAGGGAGUGCUUGACAUGGGGUUGUCUGACCUGACUACUGCACAACCCGAGCAGAGUUUGAGAAGCCUCUCGUGUUGGCUGUCCUGGCCUCCCUGGGCCCAUAGAUGAGCUGAGGACCAUCACAGCUGCUCCAGGAAGGUGGAGAAUGUAGGAAGAUGGAUAUGAAGAAAUGGCGUAAAACUCAGCAAAAGAAAGAGGUCUCACUGUGCUGCCCACGCUGGUCUUGAACUCUUGCGCUCAAGUGAUUCUCCUGCCAGACAUGCCUGGCUUCAUGGAAUAAUCUGGAAGCCUGAAGCACCACGACGUUGUGGGUAAUGCCAGGAGACACUCUCAUGGGGUGGCACUGCCCAGAAGCAAAUUGGAUGUGGCUCACAUAGGGUGCUGUGGCCAGGGACUCUGCCCAGAAGUGUUCCCACUGCACAGGCACCUGUGGGUUCCACUGCCCUUGGAGGGCACCCAGCCCUGGCUUUCUGUUAACCCAGCUGGAGCUGCCAUUCCGAGAGCCAAGAACCAGAGCCUGGAGCCAGUCUGCCCAGAGGAGAAGAUGCCCAGCCCCAGGUAGCACCGACCUGAGCAGAGGCCCCUGAUGCUGGGCCUAGGCACGGUCUGCCUGCUGGGGACACUCAGAGCCCCUGGGGUUGGGCUGCUGACAGGAACCGUUGAUGCCAUCAGAAGAGCCUCCAGCAAGAUUCCAUGUACCCUGCAAACUCGUGCAGCCGUGCCCCAAGAGACACAUUCAUUCCAUGACGAUGGAGGUGACUCAUCGCCAGCGCCAGAGCUGGACUCCGGAACUGCUGCAGUCUUUUGAGCUGUGUCCUUCUGAUGUGCGGUAUCUAAAUCUGAAAAGCAGGGCAGCCUAGGGCAUUAUACAUGUGUUCAGCUGUGGCUCCUAGCUCUUACCUCCUUUCCCAGGCAGGCCCUAGAAACUAGAGUUUUCCCAUGAAACCCAAAAGGACAAGGUUCAGCAAGCUUCAGGAUGGCUGAACUUGUGGGGUCCCAGGAGGGUGUGGUAGCCCAUGCCAUGCGUCUGUGCAUCUCUCCUCUGUAUCCUUUGAUCGCUGGUAAAUGCAGUUCUGCCCGAGUUCCACGGGCAGCUUUAGCAAAUUAAUCAAACCUGAGUGGGGGUGUGGGCACCCAGGCUUAUGCCUGUUGGCCAGAGGAUGGGGCUGUGGCUGGUAUCUGAAGUUGAAGGACAGCCUUAGGGACAGAGUAGCCUUGCACUGGGCCCUUCCAGGAUGAGGCUUGGAACACAAACGACAACCACAUGAGCCCGAGGGAGAAGGCUGCGUCUGCUGCUCCAGGAGAGCAGUGCAGCGGGACUCGCCCUGCGACAGGACCUGAGUGCAGGGCCCACUGCUCGAGCUGCUGUCCCUCUGCGCUGACUUGCAGCUGUGCACAGCACGCUGUGCCUGUGUCCUUGGUCCUCGGCUGUUUGGAUGCGGACGCCUUGUGUCAUCUCCUUGAGUGUGCCCUGUUUAGGCUGCUAACCUUCCCGCAUUCCUGGGCUCAUCCUUCACUGGAGCUGGGCUGCUUCCUUCUUCUGUUCUUCAAAGACUUUUCUCAGCAUCGCCUCUCCCCCGCUUCUGGAGUUCCAAUGACACACUCUUCACACACCCUACCGACCCCGGGCUCCAGAGGCUAUUCUCCUUCUCUUUCCCAUCUUCAUUCCUUCUUGCGAGAUUUUCCCAUUGGCCAGCUCAAGCUGUGGGCCUCCCCUUCUGCACCUCCACUUGCUGUUGAGUCUGGUGAGCCUGUCAUUUUUGUCUGCCUUUUCAAUGAUGGUGAUCAUGUUUUCAUUUCUAAAAUUUCCAGGUGGCUCUAUAUCCUCGAUUUCUUUUCAGGUACUUUCUAGUCUAAUAUUUAAGUGCUCAACAUGGCUCCAUUGAGCAUUUCUGUACAGCUGCUUUAGAGCACUUGUUGGAUAAUUUCACACCUUGUCCUCCUGCACUGGGUUCCUGAACAUGGCUGGUCAAGAUGCUGAGCGAUCCUGAUUUGCAAUGUUUUGAAUCUUUCUUUGAGACUCUGGGUCUUUCAUCCACCACACGGAGACUGCUGGUCUUAGCCUUGGUAGGCAGUGGACUUAAGGUCAGUUUCCUUCUCCAACUGUUUGGGGCACCAUCUGGUUUGGCUGGUGCAGACCCCAGAGUGCUGGGUCUGAGGGGGCCAAAUCAACUCCACUGACACACACACACACACACACACACACACGCCCAUGCUGAAGCAAGGGCUCACAAUUCUGUGGGUAGUUUUCUGGUAUUUUCCAGCCCCACAGCUUCUGACUCCCUUCCCAGCCUUCAAGUCAGGAGGUAGAGGUGGUGGUGGACAUAGGGGUGACAGAGGAGCUGACCCACCUGUCAGCAGGUCCUCCUGGGCCACGUGGUCACCUGCAGAAGCACCACACACAGCAGGGAUAUGAGUGCCACUGCUCCCUCCACUGUCCACCAUCAUUUGCUCUCCCAUGGGGCUUUUCUUCAUCUUCCAGGACUGGCACCACACCUUGGUCUGCCUCAGUGCCCCUUAUGGAGGAUGCUCUGCUGGGCGUGUGGCCGGCAAGGGGUGCCCAGGGUGUCUGUCUGGAGCCACGUGGAAAGCCUACAUGGGCAGCUCAGGGCCUUUGCACCCAGGAGCAUGAGGCAGAGUGGGCAGGGUGAUCAGCGAGGGCAGCCUCUGCCCUGUGUCCCAAGGCCUCCUCAGGAGGGAGAGUGCACGAAGCAGAUGGGCAGGAGGCCACUUAUUAUUGCUUCCAGCAGGUGGUGUCUGGGCCUCUAGCUGCUGGACCAGGCUUCCUCCUGAGUGGGAGCCACCUGAACAACUCUCUUUCCCAAGGAUGCUGCUCCAGGACCUGCCGUGUGCUCACGGGGACAACACUGUGGCAGGCAGUGGCCACCUCCAGGACAAUGGACACUGUGAGCUUCACUGUGGGAGAUGCAGAAGAUGCCACCAGCACCAGUGUCCCCGUCCUUGAAGGGUCCGACCAUGGGCAGGAAGGACACCUGGCCACUCUCCUCAGCACUCAUGGAGUUCAGCCUUCUCUCACCUUUGCUGGCACCCAGUUCCCGCCUGUCUCAUCCUGUCUUGCCCAUCUUCCCUACUGCUACUGUCUUCCUCUUAUUGCCUAUAAACUUUACAUAUUAAAGUCAGUAGUAAUAGAUUAAUCCCUAAGCUCUUGCGUGUGUUACAAAUGUUUCUGUCCCAAUUGUUCUUUAGGUGUAAGAAGUGGGGGAC